UUAGAUUUUGUUCAGCUAAGGACUCCUGGGGUGAUAUGGUGGUAGAGAUGAUGGUUGUGGUGGUGAUGGUGAUGGUCAUAGUGUAGUGGGGAUGGUGGUGAUGGUGGAGAUACUAUGGUGGUGGUGGGUAGAGAUGGUGAUGAUGAUGUUGGUGAGGGAGGUGGAGGUUGUGGAGGAGAUGGUGAUUCUGAUGGUGGUAGAAUUAGUAAAAUGGUGGAAUUGGUGUUGGUGAUAAUGGUAGAGAUCUCAUGGUGAUGGUGGC
rnacentral:lncRNA from 1 species